ACUCUAUCUGGUCUGUAAAUAGACACACAAUGUAGGGAUUAUUAGAAUGUCCUGCAGGUUAAACUCUAUCUGGUCUGUAAAUAGACACACAAUGUAGGGAUUAUUAGCAUGUCCUGCAGGUUAAACUCUAUCUGGUCUGCAAAUAGACACACAAUGUAGUGA